GCGGCAGAGCUCACCCAAAUUUCUGUGAUUUUCAAUUCCCAAACCCCAAAAAGGUCAACCAAAAACCUUUGUCUUCUGUUCUGAUGAAUCCACAACAACCCAGUCCAUCGGAAUCCGACCUUCAGGUUCCAUCCCUCGCUUCCCUCCGAAUCCAGCCCUCUUCCCCACGUUUCCCUUUCUCCACCCCCAUCGCCGGUUCUCAGCGUCGCAUCGCCAUCGCCGUUGACUUAAGCGACGAGAGUGCUUAUGCCGUCCGCUGGGCUGUCCAGAAUUACCUUCGUCCGGGAGACGCCGUCGUCCUCCUCCACGUCCGUCCGACUUCCGUCCUUUACGGAGCCGAUUGGGGCUCUAUCAAACUCCAAAUCACUCCCAACUCCACGAAUAAUCGCGAAAACGCCACCGCCAUCAGUGGCGAUCACUCCGACGAGGAGUCGCAGCAAAAACUCGAGAACGACUUCGACGUUUUCACGACAACCAAGGCGAAUACGCUGGCCCAGCCGUUAGUGGAUGCUCAGAUUCCGUUUAAAAUCCACAUAGUAAAAGACCAUGACAUGAAGGAGAGAUUGUGUUUGGAAGUGGAGAGAUUAGGGCUGAGUGCAGUGAUCAUGGGGAGCAGAGGAUUCGGAGCCUCUAGAAGAACCUGCAAGGGAAGGCUAGGAAGCGUUAGUGAUUAUUGCGUCCACCACUGCAUUUGUCCUGUGGUAGUGGUCCGGUACCCUGAUGAGGAAAAUGGAAAUGGUGGAGCCGAGAAGGUGACGAAGAAGAACAUUGUUGAAGAUGUGGAGCUGCAGCCGGUACCUGAAGAGGAACAGGAGUAUCAUGAUGCGGAGGAGGGACACACAGCAAAGGGUGAAAGGCAAUCCAAAAUGUGAAGACUUUGUGGUGUCAAAGAAGAGUGAGAAUCUUGUGUGGUGACGAACAUGUAUGCUUUGUAUAGGGCUCUUGGGUUUCUCUUGUGUGCUUCCUGCUAAUUGUGUUUCGACAAUUAACUCUUCAAUGUAUAUGUAUAUGGUUUGCCGUACUGGAUUUCUUUGCUCAGGCAUGUUAAUAAUACCGUAGGAAUACCAGAUAUUUGUACUACAAAA